rnacentral:rRNA from 1 species
GUCCUAGCCGUAAACGAUGCAUACUUGGCGUAGUCGGACUCAACCCCGAUUGUGCCGUAACUAACGUGUUAAGUAUGCCGCCUGAGGAGUACGCUCGCAAGGGUGAAACUCAAAGAAUUGACGGGGACCCGCACAAGCAGUGGAGUAUGUGGUUUAAUUCGAUGCAACGCGAAGAACCUUACCCGGAUUUGACAUGCAGUAGACAGCUUCAGAAAUGAAGUCUUCCUUCGGGACUGCUGCACAGGUGCUGCAUGGCUGUCGU